AACAAACGCUGGCGGCGUGCCUAAUACAUGCAAGUCGAACGGGGAAAGCUUUCGGGUGAGUACUAGUGGCGCACGGGUGAGUAAUGCGUGGAUAAUCUGCCUUGAAGAGGGGGAUAACCAGUCGAAAGAUUGGCUAAUACCGCAUAAGACCACAGGAAAUGAGGUUCUAGAGGUCAAAGGUUUUUCGCUUCAAGAUGAGUCCGCGUAAGAUUAGCUAGUUGGUGAGGUAACGGCUCACCAAGCGACGAUCUUUAACUGGUCUGAGAGGAUUAUCAGUCACACUGGAACUGAGACACGGUCCAGACUCCUACGGGAGGCAGCAGUAGGGAAUAUUGCACAAUGGAGGAAACUCUGAUGCAGCGACGCCGCGUGAGUGAUGAAGGCCUUCGGGUCGUAAAGCUCUGUCGCAGGGGAAUAACACAAUGAAGGUACCCUGUAAGAAAGGAUUGGCUAACUUCGUGCCAGCAGCCGCCGUAAUAC
rnacentral:rRNA from 1 species